GUUUGCGCCUUGUUUGCGCCUUGUUUGCGCCUUGUUUUGGUUAUCCUAACUCACCUGGUUUAGGAACAGCUUGUUCAUACUUCACACUCUUCUCCUCCUCCACCUUCACUUCCAUGUUCUAGGUCUUUGCAACAGAGGAGGAAAAGGACAAAAAAACCUUAAUCGGUUCGCUGCCACCUUCUGCCACCACUGUCUCUCCUUCAUCGUUUAU